UCUGGGCAUCUUGGCAAAUGCCUGUAAUCCCAGAGGCUCAGGAAGCUGAGGCAGGAGGAUUGCGAGUUCAAAGCCAGCCUCAGUAAUGUUGAGGCACUAAGCAACUCAGUGAGACUCUGUCUCUA
rnacentral:sRNA from 1 species